rnacentral:rRNA from 2 species
AAAUUGAAGAGUUUGAUCAUGGCUCAGAUUGAACGCUGGCGGCAGGCCUAACACAUGCAAGUCGAACGGUAACAGGAAGCAGCUUGCUGCUUUGCUGACGAGUGGCGGACGGGUGAGUAAUGUCUGGGAAACUGCCUGAUGGAGGGGGAUAACUACUGGAAACGGUGGCUAAUACCGCAUAACGUCGCAAGACCAAAGAGGGGGACCUUCGGGCCUCUUGCCAUCAGAUGUGCCCAGAUGGGAUUAGCUAGUUGGUGAGGUAACGGCUCACCAAGGCGACGAUCCCUAGCUGGUCUGAGAGGAUGACCAGCCACACUGGAACUGAGACACGGUCCAGACUCCUACGGGAGGCAGCAGUGGGGAAUAUUGCACAAUGGGCGCAAGCCUGAUGCAGCCAUGCCGCGUGUAUGAAGAAGGCCUUCGGGUUGUAAAGUACUUUCAGCGGGGAGGAAGGUGUUGUGGUUAAUAACCACAGCAAUUGACGUUACCCGCAGAAGAAGCACCGGCUAACUCCGUGCCAGCAGCCGCGGUAAUACGGAGGGUGCAAGCGUUAAUCGGAAUUACUGGGCGUAAAGCGCACGCAGGCGGUCUGUCAAGUCGGAUGUGAAAUCCCCGGGCUCAACCUGGGAACUGCAUUCGAAACUGGCAGGCUUGAGUCUUGUAGAGGGGGGUAGAAUUCCAGGUGUAGCGGUGAAAUGCGUAGAGAUCUGGAGGAAUACCGGUGGCGAAGGCGGCCCCCUGGACAAAGACUGACGCUCAGGUGCGAAAGCGUGGGGAGCAAACAGGAUUAGAUACCCUGGUAGUCCACGCCGUAAACGAUGUCUACUUGGAGGUUGUGCCCUUGAGGCGUGGCUUCCGGAGCUAACGCGUUAAGUAGACCGCCUGGGGAGUACGGCCGCAAGGUUAAAACUCAAAUGAAUUGACGGGGGCCCGCACAAGCGGUGGAGCAUGUGGUUUAAUUCGAUGCAACGCGAAGAACCUUACCUGGUCUUGACAUCCACAGAAGAAUCCAGAGAUGGAUUUGUGCCUUCGGGAACUGUGAGACAGGUGCUGCAUGGCUGUCGUCAGCUCGUGUUGUGAAAUGUUGGGUUAAGUCCCGCAACGAGCGCAACCCUUAUCCUUUGUUGCCAGCGAUUAGGUCGGGAACUCAAAGGAGACUGCCAGUGAUAAACUGGAGGAAGGUGGGGAUGACGUCAAGUCAUCAUGGCCCUUACGACCAGGGCUACACACGUGCUACAAUGGCGCAUACAAAGAGAAGCGACCUCGCGAGAGCAAGCGGACCUCAUAAAGUGCGUCGUAGUCCGGAUUGGAGUCUGCAACUCGACUCCAUGAAGUCGGAAUCGCUAGUAAUCGUGGAUCAGAAUGCCACGGUGAAUACGUUCCCGGGCCUUGUACACACCGCCCGUCACACCAUGGGAGUGGGUUGCAAAAGAAGUAGGUAGCUUAACCUUCGGGAGGGCGCUUACCACUUUGUGAUUCAUGACUGGGGUGAAGUCGUAACAAGGUAACCGUAGGGGAACCUGCGGUUGGAUCACCUCCUUACCUUAAAGAA